rnacentral:rRNA from 1 species
UACGUAGGUGGCAAGCGUUGUCCGGAAUUACUGGGCGUAAAGGGCGUGUAGGCGGCCUUUUAAGUCAGACGUGAAAUCCCUGGGCUUAACCCAGGAAUUGCGUUUGAAACUGGAGGGCUUGAGGAUCGGAGAGGGCAGUGGAAUUCCCAGUGUAGCGGUGAAAUGCGUAGAUAUUGGGAGGAACACCAGUGGCGAAGGCGACUGCCUGGACGACACCUGACGCUGAGGCGCGAAAGCUAGGGGAGCAAACGGG